UCUACAUCUUGUCUUGGGAGCACCCUUUGAUUUUACAUCUUGCGACUUUCCAAACAUACGGAGAUGGUGGGCUCUUAUUCUUCUGGAGAAGUUUGGGGUUUUCUCUGAAAGGUAGAUACUGGACAUUUACUCCAGCCCACUGUUACAUUUGCACCCUCUUCUGAUUAAUUUUAAAUUAACCAGAACCAGAAACCCUACAAGAGUCCCUUCCAUGUGAAGAACAAGCUACGCUUAGCAGCAGUGAGGCGGAGCUCCCAAUAAUCCGGCACAUGAAAGAAGCUGUGAAAUGGCUCCAUUCCAACAGCCAUCUGCUCAGGGGUCCAGUGGAAGAGCCUCUUUUCAUUCGAAUGAAUGAAGACCACAAGGAAAAGGCCCGCAACAAUCUCCUGGAACAGUCAGAAGCUUCCAGAGAGCCCUUUCUAUUUCAUUUUGUGUUCAGGGAUGACAUGGAGUUAUUUUUACAAGAAUGUAAGGACAAAAUGGGCCUGAGAGUGAAUGCCUCAUUUGAUACAUUUUAAGUUUAAUUUAUACAGGAUUGUCAUGAUAAAAUGGGCCUAGGGGUGAAUUGGUCAUUUGUUGUAUAUAUUUUUAUUGUUUCUUUUAAAAUGAUGCUUAGUUUUCUCUCUUUUUUAGUUUUUUGACAUGUUUUAUUUUACAUAAAGAAAAAUGCAUGCUGCACAUGUUCUUGUGAAAUAAAGUAUAUUUUAUAUAAAAUGCCCAUAAGUUUCAAGCAUUUUUUUUCACCAUCAUGAUCAGGAAGUAACUCUCAUAAUACAAUGAAACGGAUAACUAUAUACAAUUAUAUUACACAAGAU